AAUUUAUUUACCCUCAGCCCUCGACUCGACGCUCCCUCUCUCGUUCUCGUUCUGUCUCGACGGGAAAAUGUGAAUCCAAUCCCCCAUCGGCAAGGAAGAGAUCGCACGAUUAGCAACAUCAGGCGAUAGAUACGGGAACCAGGAAUUCAGGCUGUUGAGGAAUUCCAAGAGUAAUGGAAUAGCUAUUGAGCAUCAGAACUAUGGUUGCCAUGGAAGGCCUGGCGGCUGGAUCAUCUUGGACGCACAACAAGGCAAUAUGGAUGCAUCUCGUGACUUCAUUUCUUGCAUAGGACCCUUCAAGAGUUGGAUCCAUCAAAUCCAAGGACGUUCCUUCCCUCCAGAGUUUCCAAGCCUGCAACAAGUCAUUAUAUACAUGUAUUGUCAAUGUGAAGAAGUUGGCAAUAAAAGCUCAUAGUCCUUUGUGGGAGUUUUGGCAAAUUAACAUGCAGACAUAAGUGUUUCAACCUCCCGAAGUUACUCCUCUCUAUUUCCCAUCAAGUACCAGAACAUGCGGCUACCAGGAGUAAUGUUUAUGCAAAUAACUGAGCAUUGGUUUUGCCUAUAUAUGGGGACUUUGUUCUGGGUUAUUUGUAUCUCUCAGAGUGUGAGAUCAGUGAGGCUAGCAACAAUGUAAUCAGAGAGGUUGUACUGAGUUGGGAGAGAAUUACUCCAUUUGUGUCUCGAUUCAUAGUGAGAUUGCUCCGAUUCCUCCGUGGAUGUACCCAAUUUUGGAACCACGUAUUUUCUGCGUUUGUGUGUUUGGUUUAGAUCCUUGGGGCACAACAAUUAAUUACCUUAUUUCUUAAUAUCCCACCACUUUUUCUCCGCU